AUUGAACGCUGGCGGCAUGCCUUACACAUGCAAGUCGAACGGCAGCACGGGAGCAAUCCUGGUGGCGAGUGGCGAACGGGUGAGUAAUACAUCGGAACGUGCCCAAUCGUGGGGGAUAACGCAGCGAAAGCUGUUCUAAUACCGCAUACGAUCUACGGAUGAAAGCAGGGGACCGCAAGGCCUUGCGCGAAUGGAGCGGCCGUUGGCAGAUUAGGUAGUUGGUGGGGUAAAGGCUCACCAAGCCAACGAUCUGUAGCUGGUCUGAGAGGCCGACCAGCCAGACUGGGACUGAGACACGGCCCAGACUCCUACGGGAGGCAGCAGUGGGGAAUUUUGGACAAUGGGCGAAAGCCUGAUCCAGCCAUGCCGCGUGCAGGAUGAAGGCCUUCGGGUUGUAAACUGCUUUUGUACGGAACGAAACGGCCUUUUCUAAUAGAGAGGGCUAAUGACGGUACCGUAAGAAUAAGCACCGGCUAACUACGUG
rnacentral:rRNA from 1 species